rnacentral:rRNA from 1 species
CAGCAGCCGCGGGAAUACGAGGGGGGCAAGCGUUGUUCGGAAUUAUUGGGCGUAAAGGGUGCGUAGGCGGCUUGGCAAGUUUGGUGUGAAAUCUUCGGGCUCAACUCGAAGUCUGCAUCGAAAACUGCCGGGCUUGAGUAUGGGAGAGGUGAGUGGAAUUUCCGGUGUAGCGGUGAAAUGCGUAGAUAUCGGAAGGAACACCUGUGGCGAAAGCGGCUCACUGGACCAUAACUGACGCUGAUGCACGAAAGCUAGGGGAGCAAACAGGAUUAGAUACCCGCGUAGUCCCUGUCUCUUAUAC